rnacentral:tRNA from 1 species
GUUUGGCCGAGUGGUUAAGGCGUGGGACUUGAAAUCCCAUGGGGUAACCCGCGCAGGUUCGAACCCUGCAG